UCAGUAAUAGUAAGUAAAAUGGGUUGGAAAUUUACGUAGUUUUCAAACCUGAAUUUUCUUCUUCAGCUUCUUAUUUUAGUCUUGGGAUGUGCUGAUUUAGACGUCUGUUUGGUUGGAUCAGUUGAAAAUAAUUCCGAUUCCGAAUGCUGUUACAAUUUUUACAAAGUGAACAAUAUAUGCCAAGAAUGCCUAGCAGGCUAUUUUGGAGACAAGUGUAGUAUGAAGUUUAUGCAUCCGGAGUAUGGAAAAUCCUGUGCAUUGAAGUGUGAUUGUUCGAUUUCACAGUAUCACAAUGAAAAGGGUUGUUCUAACGAUCAACAAGUCAAAAGUAAAUGAAAAU